rnacentral:tRNA from 1 species
GUUAAUGUAGCUUAAUACUUAAAGCAAGGCACUGAAAAUGCCUAGAUGAGUUUAUUUACUCCAUAAACA